UUAACUUAUUUGCUUGUUUAAUCAGAGAUUCACUAUAAUACAGAAGGGUUUUGUACCUCCGGCGGUCGCCCCGCGCCCGGUGAGGGGCGCCGGGCUGCGGUGCCCGGUGAGGGGCCCCGCGCCGCCGAAGCAACUUGGACGAGUUCGCGAUGGUUUUUAGCAGCCUUUCGGCCUCUAAUAAUGAUCCCUCCGCUGGUUCACCAACGGAGA
rnacentral:misc_RNA from 1 species